GGCUCGUGGCCAAGCGAGCUGCUGACCGUGUCCUUGAUAGCGUCGUUAUCGGCGGGUGAACAGCAGGCUCGUGGUCGGCCGUCCGAAGCGGCGGCGUGGUGUGAUUGGCUUCUACAGAACCGACUCUGAUUGGAGUGGAAGGGGACGAACGGCCUCAUCCUCAAAUUCGGUGCGUGCUGUCGGAUCCCCUUUGCAAGCCAAGACUGAACACAAAAUUGCAUAGAUGUGGCGAUCUGUUCCGCUAGGUCCAGCUCCAUGUUGUGUGUGUGUCUAUGAUUCCUCAGGUCCAGCUCCAUUUUUCCUGUUCUGGAAUGCACCAGGUAAUUUUACGUGUUAGUGCAUAGCACGUAUGAAAGUGAGUUGCACACAUUGAAUUUCACUUCUCACGGAGUCGAUUCGUUUGGGGCUAUGUUUUUAUUUGGUUCUAACAGUUUAAAAUUCACAGCAAUUGAUUCACUCCAUGAUGAAACAUAAAUGACGGAAAUCACAUUCACUAAUUUAAUUUCAGUGAUUUUCUUGUGUGCCUUGCGUUACAAUUCAAAUUAACCUGAUAGGAUGCACAAUCAUGUGCUUAUUAAUCCCAUCAUUGUGUAUACACAUUCAAGUGCUGUGUUUGAUAGGAAUUUAUGAUUCCGUUUGGACAAAGCAAGAGCGCGCAGCCGUGGGAUGGGUCGGGACGGAUCCCACGUAGUGUUGGGGCAGACAUGUGCCGCAGCAGAAUGCCGCUCGUGGCAUGGUAUCCCAAUCUCACCUCGUCGCAGAUCCUGUCCUCCUCCAUUUUUCCUGUUCUGGACCCAUCAAAUGUUAACUAUUAUACUAAGCAAUACGAGAUUGAAAUAUGUACAAUUAGAUCUAUCUAGAUUUCAGGUCAUCUCGGGGCAAUGGCGGCUUGGUGGCGGCGUCAAAAGCCUGGUCAGGCCACGUGGCGGGUGGUGGCUGAGGGUGGCCUCGGCAUCGGCGUAAUGGGUGGAGGUUGUGGGCAGAUGCACUGAUUCAGUUCGUGACAGGAAUUGAAGACCACAACUAACAUUAGUAGGCCAAUGGUUUCGAGUCCCUCAAAGAAAUUGUCCAGGUCGAGGAAAUCCCAGAACAAGGUUGUUCCUUGCGCUGCUGUUUUCCAUGGAACCCAGCCUCCGAAGAGCAGCAGAGAAAUAAUCAUUGAAGUUCGAAACUACCUUCUGCUUUCAAGUUUCCCCUUGUGCAUUCACUCCCUAAAACAAACUGCACUUCUGUAUAUAGGUGGAUAUUUUUAGUCUCGUGUCCUGUCCAUGUAAUGAAAUUGCUUAUGAAUGCUUCCUACUAUUGGCGUCAUUAAACAGAUCAUGUCCGGAAUUGUUGUACUGAAAGAAUGAUCCAUGUCACCUACGUGACAUUUUGUAAUUCACAUUUUUUUUAUUUCCCAGUGUAUACCAUAAUUUAUAUGAUCUGAUGUUGAUUUGUGUGACAACAUAAUAACUUUGGAAGAAAUAACCGGUGUAAUUGGAAGUCCUACUUCCCAGA